UGGGGAAUAUUGCACAAUGGGCGCAAGCCUGAUGCAGCCAUGCCGCGUGUGUGAAGAAGGCCUUCGGGUUGUAAAGCACUUUCAGCGAGGAGGAAGGUGGUGAACUUAAUACGUUCAUCAAUUGACGUUACUCGCAGAAGAAGCACCGGCUAACUCCGUGCCAGCAGCCGCGGUAAUACGGAGGGUGCAAGCGUUAAUCGGAAUUACUGGGCGUAAAGCGCACGCAGGCGGUUUGUUAAGUCAGAUGUGAAAUCCCCGGGCUCAACCUGGGAACUGCAUUUGAAACUGGCAAGCUAGAGUCUCGUAGAGGGGGGUAGAAUUCCAGGUGUAGCGGUGAAAUGCGUAGAGAUCUGGAGGAAUACCGGUGGCGAAGGCGGCCCCCUGGACGAAGACUGACGCUCAGGUGCGAAAGCGUGGGGCAGCAAACAGGAUUAGAUACCCUGGUAGUCCACGCUGUAAACGAUGUCGAUUUGGAGGUUGUGCCCUUGAGGCGUGGCUUCCGGAGCUAACGCGUUAAAUCGACCGCCUGGGGAGUACGGCCGCAAGGUUAAAACUCAAAGG
rnacentral:rRNA from 1 species